GAGGAGGUUCAUUGGAAACUCGAGGAUUAUUCUCAGAGUAUUGUGGAACAAUUUGAUGAGAAGCAGCAAGCAUUGAAGGCGCGACCCUGACACUAUCCAUGCUACUAGCGAGACUGCUAGGAGCACCAACACUAGGAGUAGGUCUCUCACCUGCCUCGCUGUGAAAGAACUGAGGAGGUGGCACUAGAAGAAAACUCGUUAAUAAGCUGAAUAAAAUUGUACGACAGAAUGCGAAUAAAGACAGGAAAUGUUCAAUCAUGAAAUGUCUUGCAUUGAUCAAGUUGACAUAAUCAUGAGCAAGCACACAGAAACCAAGAAAGCAGGAAGCAUUUAACAUACGUCUUUCACUUAGAUUUUGUUUUUGAAGAUGCAUUUGCUGAACAUGACGAUUUAACACAUCGCUUCUAGCAAAUGCGCGGUUGCAAAAUGAACAGGAGAAAGCUUUGACAUUCUCAUCUAAAUAAGUUAAAUUUAAUUUAGUCAAAGCAUAUCUUUCUUACGAGUACGCUCAUGGCGUCGUAAAUGCUCUUUUCUAGUGAACGACUUUGGGCAAUCAGGAUAAGUGCAAUAGAAUCUAGGGUCACCAAGUCUAUGAGCCCGGGAACGUUUUUUCAAUGGCUUUUCUGUAAAAGAUUCCUCAUUUGACAUCUUUUAGCUCAACUUUUACUAAGACAUCCACUUAGUCUCGUCGAAGGAUGUGGGGGUAAAGUUGACUCCUUACAAUACUGUGUUAGAAAAGUAUGGUGGAAGAAACUAAGAAGUAGCAGGAAUA